AUCCAGCUGACGAGUCCCAAAGAGGACGAAACGCUCGUCCUGGAU
rnacentral:hammerhead_ribozyme from 1 species